ACUGGCUGGGAUGACACACUUGCCCUCACUGAGGCAGUUCAUGAUGAGAACUCUUGUUUGUACUCAUUUGUUCUGAGCCAGU
rnacentral:snoRNA from 1 species